GCCUCGGUGACUUAGUGGUUAGCACUUUGGCCUCACACCUCCAGGGUCCAGGGGGUCGAUUCCCGCCGGGGCC